UAAGAACGGAACGUAUAAAAAGAGUGGA
rnacentral:sRNA from 1 species